rnacentral:rRNA from 1 species
CAGAACGAACGCUGGCGGCGCGUUUUAAGCAUGCAAGUCGAGCGGCAAGGGCCUUCGGGCCCCUAGAGCGGCGGACGGGUGAGUAACACGUGGACAAUCUGCCCCCCGGCCCGGGAUAGCCCAGGGAAACCUGGAUUAAUACCGGAUGAGACGGGACCCGCGAUGGCGGGAUCCGGGAAAGGCGCUGCGGCGCCGCCGGGGGAUGAGUCUGCGUCCCAUUAGCUAGACGGCGGGGUAACGGCCCACCGUGGCGACGAUGGGUAGCCGGCCUGAGAGGGUGGACGGCCACAUUGGAACUGAGACACGGUCCAGACUCCUACGGGAGGCAGCAGCUAAGAAUCUUCCGCAAUGGGCGAAAGCCUGACGGAAGCGACGCCGCGUGAACGAAGAAGGCCGUGAGGUUGUAAAGUUCUUUUCGGGAGGGGGAACAACCGUGGCAGGGAAUGGCCGCGGGAUGACGUGAAUCCCGGAAUAAGCCCCGGCUAACUACGUGCCAGCCGCCGC